GCGGCCGCAGAAGUUUGAUCAUGGCUCAGGACGAACGCUGGCGGCGUGCCUAACACAUGCAAGUCGAGCGGAGAAUGCAAGAUGUUUACAUUGAGCAUUCUUAGCGGCGGACGGGUGAGUAACACGUGGGUAACCUGCCUCAGAGUGGGGGAUAGCCUUUCGAAAGGAAGAUUAAUACCGCAUAAGCUUGUAGCAUCGCAUGGUGCAGCAAGAAAAGGAGCAAUCCGCUCUGAGAUGGACCCGCGGCGCAUUAGCCAGUUGGUGAGGUAACGGCUCUCCAAGGCCACGAUGCGUAGCCGACCUGAGAGGGUGAUCGGCCACAUUGGAACUGAGACACGGUCCAGACUCCUACGGGAGGCAGCAGUGGGGAAUAUUGCACAAUGGGCGAAAGCCUGAUGCAGCAACGCCGCGUGAGUGAUGAAGGCUUUCGAGUCGUAAAGCUCUUUGAUCAGGGAUGAUAAUGACAGUACCUGAAAAACAAGCCACGGCUAACUACGUGCCAGCAGCCGCGGUAAUACGUAGGUGGCGAGCGUUGUCCGGAAUUACUGGGCGUAAAGGAUGCGUAGGUGGAUAUUUAAGUGGGAUGUGAAAUCCCCGGGCUCAACCCGGGAACUGCAUUCCAAACUGGAUAUCUAGAGUGCAGGAGAGGAAAGCGGAAUUCCUAGUGUAGCGGUGAAAUGCGUAGAUAUUAGGAGGAACACCAGUGGGCGAAGGCGGCUUUCUGGGACUGUAACUGACACUGAGGCAUGAAAGCGUGGGUAGCAAACAGGAUUAGAUACCCUGAUAGUCCACGCCGUA
rnacentral:rRNA from 1 species